CAAGUUUACCUUGAUGGAUGGUUGAAAGAUACUAGAGCCGAGAAAGCAAAAGCUAACCUUGAGUCCAACCAAAUUUACCUCGAUGGAUGGUUGAAAGAUACCCGAGUCGAGAAAGAAAAAUUCAACCCUGACUCCAACCAAGUUUAUCUUGAUGGAUGGUUAAAAGAUACUAGAGCCGAGAAAUCCAAAACUAAUCCCGACUCCAACCAAGUUUAUAUUGAUGGAUGGUUGAAAAAUACUCGGGUCGAGAAAGCAAAAUUUAAACCUGACUCCAACCAAGUUUACCUUGAUGGUUGGUUAAAAGAUAUCCGAGAUGAGAAAGAAAAAUCCAACCAUGACUCCAACCAAGUUUACCUUGAUGGAUGGUUAAAAGAUACUCGAGCUAAGAAAGCAAAAUCUAACUCUGACUCCAACCAAGUUUACCUUGAUGGGUGGUUGAAAGAUAUCCGAGUUGAGAAAGCAAAACCAACCUCUGACUCCAACCAAGUUUACCUUGAUGGAUGGUUGAAAGAUACCCGAGCUGAAAAAGCAAAAUCCAACCCCGACUUCAACCAAGUUUACCUUGAUGGAUGGUUGAAAGAUUCUCGGGUUGAGAAAGCAAAAUCCAAUAUUGACUCCAACCAAGUUUACCUUGAUGGAUGGUUGAAAGAUAUCCGAGCGGACAAAGUAAAAGCCAACCCCGACUCCAACCAAGUUUACCUUGAUGGAUGGUUGAAAGAUACUAGAGCCGAGAAAGCAAAAGCUAACCUUGAGUCCAACCAAAUUUACCUCGAUGGAUGGUUGAAAGAUACCCGAGCCGAGAAAGAAAAAUUCAACCCUGACUCCAACCAAGUUU